rnacentral:misc_RNA from 1 species
CUCGACAAUGGCACCGACGGUUUUACGCUACGCUUGGGGGUAGUUUAAGAUCAGAACCCUGUGUCGCUGUCGCAGGUGUAGUUGCACCUGAAGUGACAGGUACUAGAGAGCUGCCUUCGACGGCGCCCUCAGGAUUGGUUUCGUUGCCAGCGGGUGUGGGUGCUGGUUGUUGACCACUUCCUCCUGCGGCUGCAGCUGCCGCGGCCGCC